UCUCCUUGUGUUUAGGGAUUUUAUAGUGAAAAGUGGAGAAGGCUCCUGUACCUUUAAUGGUUGUCUAGAAGAAGGAAUUUCAUCAGGUGUUGCUUUUUACAUGAUUCAGCAGGUGUUGCUUGUUACAAGCAGAAACUCCCUCUUCUAAUCUAGACAACCAUUAUAGGCACAGGAGCCUUCUCCAGUUUAUACUCUUGCAGCUUUAACUGAUCUGGAAGGAGAUGUAACUAAGAACACGAAAGACUGAAAAUCUGAGACGAAAAGGUUAGAGGGAGAAACAUGCCACUGAAUGAUAAACCACUGAAAGAUUGGCAGUAUAUAAACUCAGCAUCACAAAAGAGCCCUGGCACAAGGUUUAUAACAAACCAAUUAAAACCAGCUGCCUGCAGAUUGGCAACAUGACAUAUCAUUUCCCUUCGGAAGAUUGCUCCAUGCCCCGUGGCAGGCAACAAAGCAUAUCUCGAUUACUCUGCCCUUUAGAACUAGGAGGAAGAAGAUUAACUCAUUCAAUACCUUCUGAAACAUCACCAAAUUACAGAUCAUAAUCCCGCCAAGCCUUUUGUAUACUAACCACUAUUAACUGCUGGACAUGACAGUAACUGCUACAUCUGCAAUGGUCGAUUACAAGAAGCCAUAAAGAAAAAACAUGGUUUGAAGAAGGGUUUCUAAUCAAGAUUUUUGUGGACUGAUGGUUGUUACGUUGUACAAAGCAAACCAGGGUUGGCUCUUUUUUAGUCCAUUGUAUUUGCAGUGUGAUAGACAGCUAUUCUUGGCAUGAUCUCUACAUUGGCUGUGAAGCAAACAGCCUAAAACAGAAUUUUACUGUACAUAGGAGAUCAUAAUGAGAAUUGAGAAAAUUUACUUUUUAAAAUUAUAGCUCCACAAAUCUCCCAACCAGUAUAGUCAUGUGGAUACAGUAUUUGGGAAUUUGAAGUUGAGGAAGUCCUUUGUCUGAGCUCUGGAUGAGGAAGUAUCCCUUGGUUAAAGAGUAUUCCUGAACUAGCCCAAUAACUUUUUUUGCUCUUCUGAAUGGUCAUAUCUCACAGGAAAAAAACAUUUUCCUAUAAAGUUAGGGGAAUGACAAUGUUUAUUCACAUGUGAUUUCACUUGUCAUCUCUUCCUCCCCAUCUGUGAUAUCAUUCAGAUGUCUGACUUCAAAAAAAUACAAUAAACCAUAUUGUUGCAAAUGGAGAUAGAGUAGAUGGGUACCUUUCGGGAAUAGAAUGAUUUUUCCUUCCUUCUGGGAUCUCAGUUGAGCCGAAAACAGGCCAUUCAUCAUUUAAUUAUUUUAAAACAAGUUAUACCAGGGGAUCUCUAUUAUCUUUUUACAUGGCUAUUUUGUCAUUCAGUAAACCACAGCUCUCUUACUCCUCCCCAUUACAAAACUUGUUCAAUGAUUUGUCAUUCAUGUAAGGACAAACGUGAAGCAGUCUUCUUUAUUUACCUGAUCUAGAUACCCAUGUUUAUUUUGGCAAAUGCAUUUGUUUAACGUUGCAUUAUGAUAUACAUUCUUGUUAAAAGAAUUGUGGAAGGAGAUAUCUUGUACCUUCUUGCCCAACAAUUCCAUGGUCAAUCUGUGACCAGGGGUUAGAUUUUGAAUAAAUGACUAGGAGAAGAUAUGGCCAUUAUUAAUAAAAUUAACCAAUUGAGCAGAAGAUAAUUUAUUAGUAAGAUGAUUGACAGGGAAGUGGUUUGGACAGGGAGGGAUGAAAUAAGAUUUCAAAUUAUGAUUGAUUGCUGUAUUAAAAAUAUUAUGGAGAUGUAAUAAAACUCUCAUUAAUAGUGGAUACAUACCAUGAGCAGCUUCAAUAUUGCACCCCUCUCAUAACCACAAUUGCAACUAUUCGAUGAUCUGUGGUCUUGGGAUCUUACUUUGGCAUAUCCUUGUAUCUUUACCUUCCUGCACUACUGUUAUUCCUUAAUUUAUUAUUUUUGUUUUUAGUGCAAUUGUGAAAUGUUAGUAUUUGAAGAAAGGCAAAUAUGUAAAAUACAAUAUAAUAUAAUAUAGGUAAAGGUUUCCCCUGAAGUUAAGUCCAGUUGUGCCCGAGUCUGGGGUUUGGUGCUCAUCUCCAUUUCUAAGCCGAAGAGCCAGCGUUGUCCAUACACACCUCCAAGGUCAUGUGGCCAGCAUGACUGCAUGGAGUGCCGUCACCUUCCCGCUGGAGCGGUACCUAUUGAUCUACUCACAUUUGCAUGUUUUCAAACUGCUAGGUUGACAGAAGCUGGGGCUAACAGCGGGCGCUCAUUCUGCUCCCUGCGACCUUUUGGUCUGCAAGUUCAGCAGCUCAGUGCUUUAACACACUGUGCCACCAGGGAUAUGAUAUAAUAUAAUAUCAUAUAAUAUAAUAUAUAGCCAGCUUGGGAAUUGUGAAGGGAAGGGAGAGAGGAGGCAAGGAGGGGAAUCCACUGCCUGAUGUUACUUUAUUGCCAGAGAUGUAAGGGACCUAUUUCACCAAGGCAGGUGAUGGGAACAUUGCAAGAUUAGGAGCUAUUGGUGAAUUAAAAGAUAGGGACAGAAUACGCAUGGGAUGGGCAGGUGUGUGUGUGUGUUCUAACUAACAGAUAGAUAUGCAUAGAGAUGUGUGAUAGGGACCAUCCCCAAAGAUGAUUGUUCAGCUGCAAUGCCAGUUUGCCUGCCUUAUAUUGAUAGAAUCCUUAAUAAAAAUGUGUGUGCUGUUAACAAGUCGCUUUUCCUUCAUAUUCUAUAGUGCCUGCUGUAACUGUCUGUCUUUUACGUUCUGCAAAAUUCAGUUUACUUAAAUAGUUAAACUGAUUAUUCAGUGCAAGGUUGGUCACACAGUCUGCAAGAUAUCAUUACUGUGUGUUUAGUCUGAACUUGUUUCUAGAAGACAUGAGGUGAAGAAAGGUGAUUGCCUAUUUACUGACCUCACUAGUCACUGGAGUCCAGCAAAAUGUAUUGCCGUUGCUCACAGAUUGCUGUAUUAUCUGAGUUUACAGUUGGCCUUCCUUCUUCCUCUGGCUCAUUCUGUAUCUAAUUUAGCAAAAUUGCAUUUAAAUUAGUCCCUGAUGAGAGACCUAGAGUUGACAUUUUUCCUUUAAUAGACACGUUAGUCUCCCUGCAUGCUAAAAUUCCAUAAAUGGCUCUUUACUCUUCACAAACGAGACAGCUACUAUACAUCAGUCAGUGCAUUAUAUUCCCAGAUUCACCUUGGGGAAUUAUUAGUAGCCGUUGCACAUUAAUUUUUUUUUCUGGGAACGAGUCAGGAUUUCCCCACUAGCUAAUUUGUAUUUGUAUUGUUCAUUCCUUUUCUCUCACUUGACCUUCUUUCUACACAGCCAUGUUGUAAAGGCUACUUUCCCACAAAGUUAAUUGGAGCAGGAAAGGAAUUCGAUACAAACCAGAUUAUAUCUGUCUUCAGAUUAGAAGUCUUGCAUAUUAGAUUGUGAAAAUUUGUGGCUGGCUGAUAGCUAUGACAUUUCUAUGAGAGGUCAGGACUGAGAAGUAAAGAAAUUGUUCCAGAAAGGAAAACAUCAACCUUCCAAGGUCCGACUUGGUAAAAUGAGAAGCAUCUCCACAUGCAGAAGAGUGAUUUCCAUGUGUUCAAAUAGAUGAAAUAUUUCAUAUUACCAUCUAAAGCAGGGGUUCUCAAAUGGAGUCUGUUUUGAAGCAAAGGUUUCUCAUGGAGCCUCAAUAAAGGUUUAUAUAUAAGACUAGCUUUGCCCAGCCACGCAUUGCUGUGAC